rnacentral:misc_RNA from 1 species
AACGCACAUUGCGCCCCCUGGCAUUCCGGGGGGCAUGCCUGUCCGAGCGUCAUUCAAAGGUACCCCUCGAGCCCCGCUCGGUGUUGGGCCGCGCCGCUGUGGGCGGCGGGCCUCGAAUCUAGUGGCGUGCCCCGCGGGCUCCGAGCGCAGUAACCUCUCGCUCGGGGGUCCGCGGGCGCGGCCAGCAAGCCCUCACAGGUAUACCUCGGAUCAGGUAGGAGUACCCGCUGAACUUAA